AGCCAAAUUGUAGCUUCU
rnacentral:siRNA from 1 species